rnacentral:rRNA from 1 species
CCUUUGGUCCAAAUAUCAACAGAAUCUAGAAUAAGUUUUAGACUUCUACCCAAUACUUCCUCAUCUUCGUAAGACUACCCGCUGAACUUAAGCAUAUCAAUAAGCGGAGGAAAAGAAACCAACAGGGAUUGCCUCAGUAACGGCGAGUGAAGCGGCAAAAGCUCAAAUUUGAAAUCCCCCGGGAAUUGUAAUUUGAAGGUGGCCUCAGUUAGUCCAAACAUUCUUAAGUCCAUUGGAAAAUGGCGCCAUGGAGGGUGAUAGCCCCGUAAAGAUGUCGUUUGUUCUAUUUUCUCUGGCCACCAAAGAGUCGAGUUGUUUGGGAAUGCAGCUCUAAGUGGGUGGUAAAUUCCAUCUAAAGCUAAAUAUUGGCGAGAGACCGAUAGCGAACAAGUACAGUGAUGGAAAGAUGAAAAGCACUUUGAAAAGAGAGUGAAAAAGUACGUGAAAUUGUUGAAAGGGAAGGGCUUGCAAGCAGACACAACCUCGUGUUGGGCCAGCAUCGGGGCGAGAGGAAGUAAAAACGAUUUGGAAAUGU